rnacentral:ribozyme from 1 species
AUAGAUCAAUAAUAAUAAUAAGAGCAGAGGAAAAAGAGCCACCAAUCAUCAUUUUUUAUUAAAGUAAGUAUUUGUUUGUGUUUUCCAUUCUUUUUCUUCUUGUUUUCUUCUGGUGUUUUGUGCUAUUAUUAUUGGCAGAAGGAAAAGAAGGAGGAGGAGGAGGGGAGAGGAGGCAU